rnacentral:lncRNA from 1 species
CACAGAUGUUCAAAAAUUAAGCUAUUCAGCUUAUUAUUUUAAAACAUUAAAAAAGAAAGUAGUCAUUUUAAACUGUUAUGUAUUUUACUGAUAUUAAAGUGUUUUAUUAUAUAAUUUGUUUAUAUAAUUGUAUUAAUUAUGUUUUGAUUAUAUAAGUUUUAUAAAUAUUAAUGUAUAUUUUAGCAACUAAAUAUUGACAUGACUUAAAAAGACUUAAAUCUGUGAAUUAUUCUUGUUUUAAACCAAUUAAUGUACCUGAAUCUCUCAAAUAAACCAAUUCACAGAAAUAACAACAAAAACAACAAUAAUAAAAUUGUCCAAAGCUAUUUAAUAAGUGAGCAUGUUUGAUUAUUGCAUUGUAUAGCAAAAAUAACAGUAAUAUAUUUAUAGCAAAAAUAACAUAAAUAUAGCAUAUGUUUUAUAUAGGUUUACAUUUUUUUUUUUAUAUAACAUAACUGCUUUAAUCAGUUAUUUGCUGAUGGAAAAGCUAUUAUGAGACCAGCUUAAAUACUGUCUCACUACAGAAAAGUGUAGUUAAGUAAGUAGUGUUGCUAGUUUCAGUCUAACAACAUGUAUUCCUCAACAAAUAUAUGCUGAUGCCACUGGACAUGUCUUGAAUCAGUGCAGCUGUGUUUGAGUUUAACCAUGCAUACUGUUACUUCUACUCUCAGUAAUGUUCUGCAUCUCAACAGCAGCCCACCAUCUGCAUUCUCACACAUACAAACAUGCAGACGUACAUAUAUUACCGAGCUUCUCCCUUCAGGCAGCCUUGGAGAAAAACGAUACCAUAGCGCAGAGCAUUUCGCACAUGGCUUCUCGGACAGUUCCCACACUCAAAGCUGUCUUGGGUUGUCUGACCUUUGCCAAGUGCACCGUCCCCCACCCCUCCGAACUCCGCUCCUCUCCUCCCCUUCCCAAGGCCCUCCGGUUUGGACAGCUGCAGCCAAGCUGGCCGCCUUACUCGUGGAAAACAUCCGCCACACAUGGAGGGCUUCGGUUGUGGCCUCUCUGCCAGAAAGAGAGAGAAGGAAGGAGAGAGAAAACGAGAGAAGGGUGGAAAGAUACCUACGCAUAUCUUCUUUACUCAUGAGACCCUCUGAACAUGAAUCUCAAGCAAACCCUAUAAAAGAUGUACAGAGAUAACACAGAGCUGCAAGUUGUCGAUAUAAAAAGAUCAAAACAACGACUUGUAAGUGUUUUCUCCCCCGCGUGGCCCUUUCUGAAGCGUGGGUCACGUCGCGUCGAGGUUACGGCAGAACCCAGUGGAACCUCAGUCUUACUUCAAAUCACAUACAAGCUUCUCCAGCCCAGGCACAUCAAAAUCAAACUCAUCCUGAUGCAGAUUUCCUCCACAGGCCCACUGGGAUCCACCACUACGAGGUGCUGCACCCCUGAACUCACCCCGCUCUAAGAAAGUGCCUGGGAAAAAAAAAGUGGGCAGCUUUUUGCUCAGAGCUCUCAGCUUAAGCCUCCCCAGUGCCAAGAGCUUUCAUGAUUUAGAAGUCUGGCACUUGUUUCAUACCUUCUGGCUACAAGCAGUUGAAACACUGCUCCUUUUUACUUUACUGAAGGCAGAGAAAAACCUCUAGAGAAAUCCAUGUCCAGGUUUUAAGUUGCUUUAUUGGCUUUAUUGGUGUUGCUGGUCUUUCACUCAUGCUGCAGAUUUGGAGCUUAAAAAUAAUAUUUGUGAUUAUAUAAUCUCUAGUGAUCUAGUGAAGUUUGAAAGAGGGCAUUAUUGUGACCUUUAGUGUGUACGCCUUCUAUCAUUGCUGUUGCACUUUUCCCAAAACUGAAUAUUGUUUUUUUGUGUGUGUAUAAAAGCAGAAUUGCCAUGGUUAAGUUCUGAUAAAUUUUAUAGGGUCACUAGGGUAAGAUGCGCUUGACCACUAAAUUUUGUCUCCACACAUUUGUUGAAUAGUUAUGCUCGUAUUGAUGUCGACUUUUCAUUUGAAUAUCAGCAUUUGAAAGACUUACUUCUGAACAGUUAAAUAGGUCAAAUUUUUAAAACAAUAAAUUUGAUUAGGUUUUGUAAUAUAAAAAUCUUGUAAUAGCGAUCUAUGAUGUUGUGUUAGAUAUUUAGA